rnacentral:rRNA from 1 species
UACAGAGGGUGCGAGCGUUAAUCGGAAUUACUGGGCGUAAAGCGUGCGUAGACGGUUAUGUAAGUCAGGUGUGAAAGCCCCGGGCUCAACCUGGGAAUUGCAUUUGAGACUGCAUAGCUAGGGUGCGGAAGAGGGAAGCGGAAUUUCCGGUGUAGCGGUGAAAUGCGUAGAUAUCGGAAGGAACAUCAGUGGCGAAAAGGCGGCUUCCUGG